UUAACAAGUGGUAGUGUCAUCGUGUUGGGAAAGGUGUUGAGAUAAACGUCAAUUUCAUUGAGACCCCGUCAUCUUUGGAUUGCUCUGGAUAAUGCUAGUGGUGUCAUUACUGCGCACUGUGAUUGUCCAAAUAGGUAGCUAUAUCAUUUAUUGUUUCAGCAAAUGUACAUUAAUAAUUUCUUUUGUCAUUUAGAUUAUGUUUAACGUGUUCACAUAUUGGAGCUUUGCUCUACUGUGUUGCACAAAUCAAAGAAGAAUCUUGUGCGAGUAGAAAACAGGUAUGGGAAGCAUGACAACAGCAGGAAAACUUUGAACCUACCAAACACACUUGGAGAUUUAACGGUUGGGAAACCGAAAAGUGAUGUAUUUGCCAAAACACAAAAUUUUGACACAUUAAGUGAGGAGAAAUUUCAAACCUUGUUGAAUACUAUUGAAAAGGAGUCAAAUCCUUUAUAGAGAUAGAUUUAGAAAUGUCAACCCAUUUUUAUUUUUGAAAUCGACAAGGAAAACCAAAAUGAAAAACAUGUUUGUGUAAAGGUUUGUCUCUUCGGAUAAAGAAACAAACCUCACAAGAACAAUAAAACUCGCAUGAGGCGAUUUCCCCACAAUGCUGUGUAUUGGUACUGGAAAAUAAUCAAACUGGGUACAUACCAAUAAUCAGAAGAAAGAAAUGUGCACAGUAGCAAGUCUAG